GCCGCUGUAGCUCAGUCGGUAGAGCAAAGGACUGAAAAUCCUUGUGUCGUGGGUUCGAUUCCCACUGGCGGCA
rnacentral:tRNA from 1 species